GUCGAGCGGAACGACACUAACAAUCCUUCGGGUGAGUUAAUGGGCGUCGAGCGGCGGACGGGUGAGUAAUGCCUAGGAAAUUGCCUUGAUGUGGGGGAUAACCAUUGGAAACGAUGGCUAAUACCGCAUAAUGCCUACGGGCCAAAGAGGGGGACCUUCGGGCCUCUCGCGUCAAGAUAUGCCUAGGUGGGAUUAGCUAGUUGGUGAGGUAAUGGCUCACCAAGGCGACGACCCCUAGCUGGUCUGAGAGGAUGAUCAGCCACACUGGAACUGAGACACGGUCCAGACUCCUACGGGAGGCAGCAGUGGGGAAUAUUGCACAAUGGGCGAAAGCCUGAUGCAGCCAUGCCGCGUGUAUGAAGAAGGCCUUCGGGUUGUAAAGUACUUUCAGUUGUGAGGAAGGGGGUAACGUUAAUAGCGUUAUCUCUUGACGUUAGCAACAGAAGAAGCACCGGCUAACUCCGUGCCAGCAGCCGCGGUAAUACGGAGGGUGCGAGCGUUAAUCGGAAUUACUGGGCGUAAAGCGCAUGCAGGUGGUUCAUUAAGUCAGAUGUGAAAGCCCGGGGCUCAACCUCGGAACUGC
rnacentral:rRNA from 1 species